UUUUCAAGCCACUCAUCCUGAAACUUGCAAAGCCGCCUAGCUUUUUUACUAGUACAGGGCUGUUGCUCAUCCUCUGAAGACAUGAUAUGAUUACUUCCAGACUGUACUGUAAGCUCUCCUCCUACCAUUCAGUCAUUGUGCAGUUGGUAAACAGCUCUGUUCCUA